CUCUCAUUCUUUCUUUAGUAUUGUUCAAGAUAUUAAACAUUUUAUUUUCAAAGGGGGACCUUUCACUCGUCUUAUGUUUUCUGAGAAGCCAACCAAGUAACGGAAUCUCCUUAGGGGAGAGACAUGCGAGUUUUUCUUAAUGUAACUCCAUCUUAUAUUUCCUCAGCCGUGAUGGCUCAUGUUUCUUCCACUGCGUUUCUACA
rnacentral:lncRNA from 1 species